GACGGAGGGGGCUAGCGUUGUUCGGAAUUACUGGGCGUAAAGGGCGCGUAGGCGGAUUAGUAAGUUGGGAGUGAAGGCCCGGGGCUUAACCUCGGAACUGCUUUCAAAACUGCUAGUCUUGAGUGAAGUAGGGGAUGAUGGAAUUCCUAGUGUAGAGGUGAAAUUCUUAGAUAUUAGGAGGAACACCGGUGGCGAAGGUGGUCAUCUGGACUUCAAAUGACUCUGAGGCGCGAAAGCGUGGGGAGCAAACAGG
rnacentral:rRNA from 1 species